UUAAUAUAUUAUUUUAGUUAACGUUUUAAAGUUAUUAAAUAUAAUAUGUUUGUAAUGAAAUGUUAUUCGUUUUUUAAGAUAUCUAGUUUUUCAAGAUUUAAAUUUAAUUUUAUUUAUUUGAGAAGUAAUAUUUAUUAAUUUAAUAUUUAUUUAUUUUUAAAUGAAAAUAUUUUGGGGGAUAAGCUCUGAAGUAAUUUAUAUAUAAAAUUGAUUAUUUUUUAUUUUGAUUGUAGGCUUUAAAUUAGCUUUCAUUUAAAGUUUGUUAUAAAUUUACAUAUAUUUUUAUAAAAAUUUUAUAUCUUUUUUAUGUUUUGUAUUGAAAUGGAUUUAUUAAUUUGUAAUAAGUCGUAAUAAUGAUUAAAUUAGUAUAAUUGAUUAUUUUAUAUAUGUUGUUUAAUUUUGGUUAAUUUAUUAUAAGGAACUAGGCAAAAUUAAUAAUUUGAGUAAUGCUCGCCUGUUUAUCAAAAACAUGUUUUUUUGUAUAAUAAUUUAAAAUUUGACCUGCCCACUGAUGAUUUAAUUGAAGGGCCGCGGUAUAUUGACCGUGCAAAGGUAGCAUAAUCAUUAGUCCUUUAAUUGUGGACUGGAAUGAAUGGUUUGACGAGGUAUUGACUGUCUCAUAUUAAUAAUUAGAAUUUAACUUUUAAGUUAAAAGGCUUAAAUGUUUUUAGAGGACGAGAAGACCCUAUAGAUCUUAAUAAUUUUAUUUUUAAUAUAUUUUUGGUUAAUUAUUUUUAUUAAAAGUAUAAUUAUUUUAUUGGGGUGAUGUAAAGAAUAAAAAAACUCUUUAUUUUUGAUAACAUUGAUUUAUGAUUAAUUGAUCCAUUAUUAGUGAUUAUAAGAUUAAGUUACCUUAGGGAUAACAGCGUUAUUUUUUUUGAGAGUUCUUAUCAACAAAAAAGAUUGCGACCUCGAUGUUGGAUUAAGGUAA
rnacentral:rRNA from 1 species